CCUACGGGAGGCAGCAGUGGGGAAUCUUGGACAAUGGGCGCAAGCCUGAUCCAGCCAUGCCGCGUGAGUGAUGAAGGCCUUAGGGUUGUAAAGCUCUUUCGCCAGGGAAGAUAAUGACUGUACCUGGAUAAGAAGCCCCGGCUAACUCCGUGCCAGCAGCCGCGGUAAU
rnacentral:rRNA from 1 species